GGAAAGCAGGACAUUACUGAAGGCUGCAAUAGAUACUUUAGUCACAGAGGGCAGCAUCACAGACCAGGCGAGGAAAACCGAGGAUUACGUCACACCGGUUCCUCUCCAAGUCUUCCGGUCCUCGCUGAGUCCAUAAAGAAGCCCACCUGGCCACGAAAACAUUAGAACUCUCCCGGCAGCGAUUACCAUACGUGGGUUUGUGGCUAGGAUCAGCUAGGAGAACACUCUCGCACGUAGGGCUGGGUAUCGAAUUUCGAUCCGGUUAUGGCACCGACCGAAAUGCUCCGAUCCUAUCGAAUAUCAAAACAUUAAUAGUUUUCCGGUGCCGUAUUUCGAUACUCAAUGAAAUUAAUCCCAGCCUGUCUGCCAAUAGUAAUAUCGUUUUCAACUGUUUCUGGGUAAAUGCUACGUCUGUGAGCCAAUAAUCAUGUGGUAUUACGAAGUGGUUACGAAUCUUAAGUCGCUGGUGAUUGGCUGUCACAUUUUCGGAGCGCGAGACACGUUUGUCUACUUGACCGUCACUAUAUCAAACUUUGUCAGCUGUAACGUCACUCUUGACGUUGUCAUAAUGCCUAAAAGGUCCAAAGUGUGGCUCCACUUCGCUCAGGUGGACACCAAUCGAGCCAGAUGCUCUAUUUGCCAAAAAGUCGUGCUGGCGAAAGACGGCAACACAUCAAAUCUUGCGAAACAUUUAAUAAUGCACAAGAUUAACCUCCGGUCGGACAGCUGCUCCGUGUUUGACUGUAAAGCUAAGAAAGCUAAGAAGGACGACGGGACUUCAGUCACCAGACCGCCUCCUUCUUCCACAUCGAAUUCUCUAUCGGCUAGUGACCGGGAUUCAGCUGGGAGUUUGGCCAACAACAUUACAGGCCUGCCAGAGCACUCAGUCAUUCUGGACGUUAAGACCAGAUGGAACAGCC
ensembl:lncRNA